UACGGGGGGUGCGAGCGUUGUCCGGAAUUACUGGGCGUAAAGCGAGUGUAGGCGGUCCGAUAAGUCGGGUGUGAAAGCCCUGGGCUCAACCCAGGAAGUGCACUCGAAACUGCCGGGCUAGAGUAUCGGAGAGGUUGGUGGAAUUCUCGGUGUAGAGGUGAAAUUCGUAGAUAUCGAGAGGAACACCGGUGGCGAAGGCGGCCAACUGGACGAAUACUGACGCUGAUGCGCGAAAGCGUGGGGAGCAAACGGG
rnacentral:rRNA from 1 species